rnacentral:tRNA from 3 species
ACCGCCAUUAGCUCAUCGGGACAGAGCGCCAGCCUUCGAAGCUGGCUGCGCGGGGUUCGAGUCCUCGAUGGCGGUCCAU